rnacentral:lncRNA from 1 species
AAAUUACCUUCACGUACUGAUAUUGUCAUUUUUGUAUUUUAUUCGUCAUAU